rnacentral:rRNA from 1 species
UACGGUAGGGUGCGAGCGUUGUCCGGAAUUACUGGGCGUAAAGAGCUCGUAGGUGGUUUGUCACGUCGUCUGUGAAAUUCCGGGGCUUAACCUCGGGCGUGCAGGCGAUACGGGCAAUACUUGAGUGCUGUAGGGGAGACUGGAAUUCCUGGUGUAGCGGUGGAAUGCGCAGAUAUCAGGAGGAACACCGAUGGCGAAGGCAGGUCUCUGGGCAGUAACUGACGCUGAGGAGCGAAAGCGUGGGGAGCAAACAGGAUUAGAUACCCGGGUA